AAUUCGUACCGAGUGCUUCACUAGUUCUUGCAGAAUGCUUCUUUAACCUAAGCUGUAAAAUUCACACUGUUAAUAUCUGAGAUGCUGGCACCGAGUGUAAAAUCAAAUGAUGGUGUUUCUUCAUCUUCAAUAUCUAUUUUUUUCCUUUAUUCUUUCAUGGGACAUGAACAUCACUGGUAAGGCCAGCAUUUGUUGCCCAUCCCUAAUUGCCCUUGAACUGAGUGGCUCGCUAUUACAGAGGGCAGGAAGUCGAUCACGUUGCUGUGGGACUGCAGUCAUAUGUAGGCUAGACCAGAGAUCCAGAAGAAUUGGCUGCAGAGAUGAUGGGUGGAAUCGUCCGCUCUCCCUGGUGGCGAGCUCAGAGCUCUGUAACCUGCUCUGUUUCUGAAAAACCCCUGUCUAGAAUGAAAAAGGGAACAUCACUGUUAGAGACAUUGAAAAACAAUUGCUCAACCAGUGAGCUAAAUACUGAAAGUGCUGGAAGACU